rnacentral:rRNA from 1 species
AUUGAACGCUGGCGGCAUGCUUUACACAUGCAAGUCGAACGGUAACAGGCCGCAAGGUGCUGACGAGUGGCGAACGGGUGAGUAAUGCAUCGGAACGUGCCCAGUCGUGGGGGAUAACGCAGCGAAAGCUGCGCUAAUACCGCAUACGAUCUAUGGAUGAAAGCGGGGGACCGUAAGGCCUCGCGCGAUUGGAGCGGCCGAUGUCAGAUUAGGUAGUUGGUGGGGUAAAGGCUCACCAAGCCAACGAUCUGUAGCUGGUCUGAGAGGACGACCAGCCACACUGGGACUGAGACACGGCCCAGACUCCUACGGGAGGCAGCAGUGGGGAAUUUUGGACAAUGGGCGCAAGCCUGAUCCAGCAAUGCCGCGUGCAGGAAGAAGGCCUUCGGGUUGUAAACUGCUUUUGUACGGAACGAAACGGCUCUCUCUAAUACAGGGGGUUAAUGACGGUACCGUAAGAAUAAGCACCGGCUAACUACGUGCCAGCAGCCGCCGUAAGAC